GUGGGGAAUCUUCCGCAAUGGACGAAAGUCUGACGGAGCAACGCCGCGUGAGUGAAGAAGGUUUUCGGAUCGUAAAGCUCUGUUGUUUGAGACGAAUGUGCAGACUUUGAAUAAGGGUUUGUAAUGACGGUAUUAAACGAGAAAGCCACGGCUAACUACGUGCCAGCAGCCGCGGUAAUACGUAGGUGGCAAGCGUUGUCCGGAAUUAUUGGGCGUAAAGGGAGCGCAGGUGGGAAUGUAAGUCAGUCUUAAAAGUGCGGGGCUCAACCCCGUGAGGGGAUUGAAACUACAUUUCUUGAGUGCAGGAGAGGAAAGUGGAAUUCCUAGUGUAGCGGUGAAAUGCGUAGAGAUUAGGAGGAACACCAGUGGCGAAGGCGACUUUCUGGACUGUAACUGACACUGAGGCUCGAAAGCCAGGGGAGCGAACGGGAUUAGAAACCCGUGUAGUCC
rnacentral:rRNA from 1 species